UGGGGCGUCGCCAAGCGGUAAGGCAGCGGGCUUUGAAUCCGCCAUGCGAUGGUUCGAAUCCAUCCGCCCCAG
rnacentral:tRNA from 1 species